CAGAGGGUGCAAGCGUUAAUCGGGAUUUACUGGGCGUAAAGCGUGUGUAGGUGGUGGCGUAAGUCGAUUGUGAAAUCCCCGGGCUCAACCUGGGAACUGCUUUUCGAUACUGCGUCACUAGAGUACGGUAGAGGGUGGUGGAAUUUCCGGUGUAGCGGUGAAAAUGCGUAGAUAUCGGAAGGAACAUCAAUGGCGAAGGCAACCACCUGGGGCCUGUACUGACACUGAGACACGAAAAGCGUGGGGAUCAAACAGGAUU
rnacentral:rRNA from 1 species